GGGGCGGGUGGAAGGCGUGGUCUCUAAGGACGUGGGCGGGUCCAAGACCGAGCCAGAAUGCUUGGCCUGUGGGGCGGGGCCUCGGUGACGGGGCGGAGCCGCCGGGGGCGGGGCGGGCCUACGGGGGCGGAGUCUACAGGGGUGAGAGACUGGGCGCGCGGCCAGGCUUCCAGGGGACGAGGGUAGAAAGAAAUGAGGGGCGGGGCCUCAGCCGGAGGCGGGGCCUGCGCGGCGGAUAUGGGGGGGCGGAGUCUCCGGACCCGGGACAAGACUUCCGCUGCCCGCGCGGAGGUGGACGGAGACUCCGGCGGUGGAAUCUUUCCAGAUACCCCGCCCAGUCCUCUCUUUUCUGUAAGCCCCGAUCCCCUCCCAUUCUGGGGCUUUUCCUGCGCCUCCGCCCCGGGCUCCACCUUACACACCUGCCCAGGUCUCCUCCCAUCUCCUCGGCCCCUCCUGCGCCCCCGCCAGGAGUCCCCUCCCGACCCGCCCCCCCGAGUCCCUUCCCGUCUCCCCCGCCCCGGUUCCUCCCAGCUCGAGUCUCCUCUCGCGUCCCUGCCCCGGGUCUCCUCCCGACUCCCCCCUUCCCAGCCCGGGUUGCCUCGCGUCUCCCGGGCCCCGUAUCCCCCCACCCAGCCUGGGUUCCCUCCUGACCCACCACCACCCGGGUCCUCUCCCGACUCCCGAGUUCCCCCCUCAGGGUUCCUUCUUGCCUCCUGGGCCCCCUAUCCGCCCCCCGCCAGCCCGGGUUCCCAACUGCGCCCCCGCCUGGGCACCCCUCGCGAGACCCCCCACUCUGGCCCCGAUUCCUCUCCAGCCCGGUCCCUGAAGGCGACUGGACGCUUCCUCCAUGACCCCGCCCAGAGUCUGGGAUCCCGCACCCUCUCCAGAGGACCUUGAUAUGCAUCUAGACUGAAUUCCACCUGGAAAUAAGGGAGGGGAGCAGAUGAGAAGUGUGUUGUCCCCCCAGGAGCACAAUCAUCCCCUAGUCCUUCCCACAGGUGCGAGAGCCAGGCAGGCUUUGCCCGGUUGCCCUGGAGGUCCCCAGGGGCACUGCUCCAAACCUCCCCUCCUGCCUGAGUCACCCAGGAGACCCUCCAGGGUUACCUCUCCCCUGCCUCCUACUGUCUUCUUCCUCAGCAAUCACUGUUUCUUUGGAAAUUACUUUCUCUGUAGUCAUCAUGACCAGCUAGGGUACUUUGGGGAAACAGUCCCCUGGGCAUUUGCCCUACACUCUAAGUGGGGAAAAAAAAUCAAGUGCAGGAUUCCUGACUAGUUGGGUCCUGGCUUUCAAUUACACAGCCAGCUCUCAGACCUGGCCGAAGCCUGCUGGGUUGUCUAUUAAAUCAUCACGACAAAUACACUAGCCAUCACGCCUCCGGUCCCUCUGUUGAAUGGAAAAAUCGGAGAACUAAGCCAUGGGGAUUUUCCCCCUACAGCAUAUUGUCAGUACGCGUCUUCCCCUUGUUGCAAAUAAACCACCUAGCUGGACAGAGUUAUAGAGUGUGGAGCCGGCAUGGUGGACGCGGGUGGGCCACCAGGAGAGCUGCCACGGGGCCAGAAAUGGGGAGCUCCGAGGCGCUGGGGGCCCACUGUCUCCACAGCAGCACUGCCGUGGCCUGUGUACCCGGGGAACUCAUGUGGCGGCCUCGCCCCCCGUGCAGUGGUGUUGGGGAUGAGGCCUCUGGGAGGUGAUUGGGUCAUGAGGGUGGAGCCCCCACAAAUGGGAUUCGUGCCUUACGAAAGAGACUCCGGUGAGCUCCCUCGUCCUUCGCCACCGGCUGGCUAUGAACCGGUGAAGCUCUCACCAGACACUCAAUCUGCCGUUGCCUUGAUCUUGGACUUCCAGCCUCAGGAGCUCUGUUGUUGAUGAGUGUCCCCCUCACCAGUCUGUAGUAUUUUUGUCAUAGCAACCCAGGUGGACUGAGACGAGCACCCGAGCCUGCCUCUGCUGUAUGUCCGGGGACAGGUGCAGGAGAGCAGAUGGGCAGUGUCCCGCCCAGUCACAGGCCUCAGCCCCUUCUGAUCGUAUCACGUAUCCCUCCUGCCUCCUGAGAUUCUGUCCUCCCUGCCUUGUCUCAGCUGUGUCUCAGCUCCCGGCUUAAGCCAGGGUCCCUUUUUCAUCCUCUCAUUUCCUUUCACCAGCGCUGGGGCCCCUGCUCCUUCCGGCUUGCCCUUGACUCCUCCUCUUGUGCCUUGUUUCCCUUUGAAACAGGCCACUCGCUGCCUGUCCAUCCUCCACGCGCUUGUGUCCUGGACCCUGUGCAGCGCCGUCCCUUCUCCCAUCUCCCUCUCUUCUGAAUGUAUCACCUGUUUUGUGUGGCUUCAGAAAUACUUGUCUCCCCUCUCCAUGCCUCCCCACCGCGUCUUCCUGGUUGGGAUCUCCUCCUCAUUAGGCCUUGUAUUAUUUGUUUCGGUCCCAGGAGGAAAUUUGAGAAGAGUCUAACAAAGCCCCAGCUGUAGGAAAGGCAGAGAGUGAGUGCAGAGCCAGGACCCACAGUGUGGAAGGAACAGGUGCCGCCUCCAGGGCUGAGGGAGCGUGGGGACAACCCAGAGAGACAGGGAGAGACGGAGCAGCCAGACAGGACCCAGGGGAACGGCUCCACACAGAGAAAGCUGGGAAAUAAGCCCCACCCUCACCCUCCUCCCGCUCUCUCGCCUUCUAGGCUCGUGCCGAGUCCCACCGGUGGAGGCUUCCGGAGCACGGAGGAGGAGUGGAGAGCCGCCCUGGGAGUCCCACGGCCUCGUCUUCUGCAGGAGGAAAGCUGAUUGUCCUCAACUGGCCCUGUGUGCCUUCCAAGAAGUCACGAGACGGGACGUGGGGGCCUCACAGCCGAAAGCCCUUGGUGCCAGGAGAGACGAGACCGGACCGGGUGCUUGUGGUCAAGUGUCUAGUGGACGGACUCAGCCUGGGCCCGGGGUGCCCUCCCCCUCCCCAGCCCGUGCUCCUCCUGCUUUCCUGUCCUCAGUGGGCCUGCUGGCGAGCCGCCCCGGGGGCUUCUUCCUCACCUGCCAGGGAUCAACUCACCCCACACACGCUGCCCGGGGGGAGACGAGGCCCGUACACACACCUGU